rnacentral:rRNA from 1 species
CGAGUAAUACAUAAGUAACCUGCCCUAGACAGGGGGAUAACUAUUGGAAACGAUAGCUAAGACCGCAUAGGUACGGACACUGCAUGGUGACCGUAUUAAAAGUGCCUCAAAGCACUGGUAGAGGAUGGACUUAUGGCGCAUUAGCUGGUUGGCGGGGUAACGGCCCACCAAGGCGACGAUGCGUAGCCGACCUGAGAGGGUGACCGGCCACACUGGGACUGAGACACGGCCCAGACUCCUACGGGAGGCAGCAUG